rnacentral:lncRNA from 1 species
CAACGGAGAGGGCGAGGGAUAAGAGAGAGGCUUACGGCAGCAGCCAUGAAGCGAAGGGGGAAGGGCGAGAGGCCCAAAUCUGAUGCGUUCCCCGCUUCCCUCUCCAAGCGCCUUCGACGGCCGCCUCCGACCGAAGCGGCUGAAGGAGAGCCCGCCGAGGCAACUGCCGCCGCCUCGCCCUCCGUCGUCCUGGUCACCGGCCUCCCCGCUGACUGCACCGUGCUGGAACUGAAGUCCCGCCUGGAGAUGUACGGCCCCAUCUCCCGCACCCGCAUCGACGUCGACGGCCGCGGCUUCGUCACCUUCCGCUCCGACCACGCCGCU